rnacentral:tRNA from 1 species
GCUUCUAUCGGCUAUCGGUCAGGCCCCAAGGUUCUCAACCUUGUGAGGCGGGUUCGACUCCCGCUGGGAGCA